GACGAACGCUGGCGGCGUGCUUAACACAUGCAGGUCGUACGGUAAGGCCCUUUCGGGGGUACACGAGUGGCGAACGGGUGAGUAACACGUGCGUAACCUGCCCACAACUUUGGGAUAACGCUAGGAAACUGGUGCUAAUACUGGAUAUGUGCUCCUUCUGCAUGGUGGGGGUUGGAAAGCUCCGGCGGUUGUGGAUGGACUCGCGGCCUAUCAGCUUGUUGGUGGGGUAGUGGCCUACCAAGGCGGCGACGGGUAGCCGGCCUGAGAGGGUGACCGGCCACAUUGGGACUGAGAUACGGCCCAGACUCCUACGGGAGGCAGCAGUGGGGAAGAUUGCACAAUGGGCGCAAGCCUGAUGCAGCAACGCCGCGUGCGGGAUGACGGCCUUCGGGUUGUAAACCGCUUUCAGCAGGGACGAAGCUUUUUGUGACGGUACCUGCAGAAGAAGCACCGGCUAACUACGUG
rnacentral:rRNA from 1 species